rnacentral:lncRNA from 1 species
GCUCAACCAAUUUCCAAGAAUAUAAGGUAGCUAGUAUUGAAUUGUUGCAUAUGCUAGGUGCAUGGAUGUAAUAACUCAAGAAAUAAAGAUGAUACUCGAAGUCGUAAGCGUCCUUCUGCCAUAACGUACCAUGCAAUCCGAGAAUAUAUAAAGCUAGUUUUAAUUGAGGUUUUAUAAAAAAAAUUCAUGAGCAUGAAAUAAACUAUGUGGCAUAGUAUUAAUGAACAG